rnacentral:lncRNA from 1 species
GAUCUCUGACUUUGCGUAUUAGCUCUAAGUUCUUUCGUUCAUUUUUAUGAUACCCGACUUUGCGUAUUAGAUCUAAGUUCUUUCGGUCCGUUUUUGUGAUCCCCAACUUUGCGUAUUAGCUCUAAGUUCUUUCGGUCUGUUUUAAUGAUCUCUGACUUUACGUAUUAGCUCUAAGUUCUUUCGGUUCGUUUUUAUGAUCCCCGACUUUGCAUAUUAGCUCUAAGUUAUUUCGGUCCGUUUUUAUGAUCCCCGACUUUGCGUAUUAGCUCUAAGUUCUUUCGGUCGGUUUUACGAUCCCCGACUUUGCGUAUUAGCUCUAAGUUCUUUCGGUCCGUUUUUAUGAUCCCCAACUUUGCGUAUUAGCUCUAAGUUCUUUUGGUCCGUUUUUAUGAUCCCCGACUUUGCGUAUCAGCUCGAAGUUCUUUCGGUCCGUUUUUAUGAUCUCCGACUUUGCGUAUUAGCUCUAAGUGCUUUCGGUCCGUUUUUAUGAUCCCCGACUUUGCGUAUUAGCUGUAUAUUCUUUCGGUCGGUUUUUAUGAUCCCCGACUUUGCGUGUUAGCUCUAAGUUCUUUCGGUCCGUUUUUAUGAUCCCCGACUUUGCGUAUCAGCUCUAAGUUCUUUCGGUCGGUUUUUAUGAUCCCCGACUUUGCGUAUUAGCUCUAAGUUCUUUCGGUCCGUUUUUAUGAUCCCCGACUUUGCCUAUUAGCUCUAAGUUCUUUCGGUCCGUUUUUAUGAUCCUCGACUUUGCGUAUUAGCUUAAAGUUCUUUCGGUCCGUUUUUAUGAUCUCUGACUUUGCGUAUUAGCUCUAAGUUCUUUCGUUUGUUUUUAUGAUCCCCGACUUUGCGAAUAAGCUCUAAGUUCUUUAGGUCGUUUUUAUGAUCCCCGACUUUGCGUAUUAGCUCUAAAUUCUUUCGGUCGUUU